GGUUGUGGCUCAGUGGUAGAGUCCUUGCCUAGCAUGCGAGAGGCACUGGGUUCAAUCCCCAGCACCA
rnacentral:tRNA from 1 species